UUUUUUAAAAGUGAAUAGUAAAAUCCUCAUGUUGGCAAAGUAUAAGAAAAUUCAAUCUCGUGGAACAUAUACCGAUGAUAUACCUUCGCCAUUUCAAUUGCUAUUUUACAGUGUGGUUUUCUAUGAUUUGAUGUAACACUAUUGUUUCAGAUGAGGGUGAAUGUUGGUACCUAUUUAAAUGUUAAAACCAGUUGCAUUUGUUUGUACCACUUCUUAGUCAGGAACCUGAUGUUCAGUGGUUGUCGUGUAUUGAUGUGGAUCAUACGUUUUCUGGUUUCUUGUUUUUUUUUAUUAAGAUAAGACCGUUUGUUUUUCACGUUUGAAUGGUUUUACUCUGGUCAUGUUUGGUGACACAUGAAAUUAUUAUCGAGAGCAUGCAUUUUUAAAUGAUUAUUUGUUAUUUUUUUGUAACUUGGAUAUAAGUUUGAG
rnacentral:lncRNA from 1 species